GUGGGGAAUAUUGCACAAUGGGCGAAAGCCUGAUGCAGCAACGCCGCGUGAGGGACGACGGCCUUCGGGUUGUAAACCUCUUUUAGUAGGGAAGAAGCGAAAGUGACGGUACCUGCAGAAAAAGCACCGGCUAACUACGUGCCAGCAGCCGCGGUAAUACGUAGGGUGCAAGCGUUAUCCGGAAUUAUUGGGCGUAAAGAGCUCGUAGGCGGUCUGUCGCGUCUGCUGUGAAAACUGGAGGCUCAACCUCCAGCCUGCAGUGGGUACGGGCAGACUAGGGUGCGGUAGGGGAGAUUGGAAUUCCUGGUGUAGCGGUGGAAUGCGCAGAUAUCAGGAGGAACACCGAUGGCGAAGGCAGAUCUCUGGGCCGUAACUGACGCUGAGGAGCGAAAGCGUGGGGAGCGAACAGGAUUAGAAACCCUUGUAGUCC
rnacentral:rRNA from 1 species